rnacentral:rRNA from 1 species
CGGGGGGGUAAGCGUUGUUCGGAAUUACUGGGCGUAAAGGGCUCGUAGGCGGCCAACUAAGUCAGACGUGAAAUCCCUCAGCUUAACCGGGGAACGGCGUCUGAUACUGGAUGGCUUGAGUUUGGGAGAGGGAUGCGGAAUUCCAGGUGUAGCGGUGAAAUGCGUAGAUAUCUGGAGGAACACCGGUGGCGAAGGCGGCAUCCUGGACCAAUUCUGACGCUGAGGAGCGAAAGCCAGGGGAGCAAACGGG